rnacentral:rRNA from 1 species
AUUGAACGCUGGCGGCAGGCCUAACACAUGCAAGUCGCGCGGAGCGGCGGACGGGAGAGUAAGGCCUAGGAAUCUGCCUGGUAGUGGGGGAUAACGCCCGGAACCGGGCGCUCAUAAAGCAUACGAGACGAUUAGCCUAGGUCGGAUUAGAUAGUUGGUGGGGUAAAGGCCUACCAAGGUGAGGAUCCGUAACUGGUGUGAGAGGAUGAUCAGCCACACUGGAACUGAGACACGGUCCAGACUCCUACGGGUGGCAGCAGUGGGGAAUAUUGGACAAUGGGCGAAAGCCUGAUCCAGCCAUGCCGCGUGUGUGAAGAAGGUCUUCGGAUUGUAAAGCACUUUAAGUUGUGAGGCGUUACCAACAGAAUAAGCACCGGCUAACGUCGUGCCAGCAGCCGCGGUAAUUC